CGGCGGACGGGUGAGUAACGCGUGGGUAACCUGCCUCAUACAGGGGGAUAACAGUUAGAAAUGACUGCUAAUACCGCAUAAGACCACGGUACCGCAUGGUACAGUGGUAAAAAAUCCGGUGGUAUGAGAUGGACCCGCGUCUGAUUAGGUAGUUGGUGGGGUAACGGCCUACCAAGCCGACGAUCAGUAGCCGACCUGAGAGGGUGACCGGCCACAUUGGGACUGAGACACGGCCCAG
rnacentral:rRNA from 1 species